UGGUGGGGUGACUUGUCUGCUUAAUUGCGAUAACGAACGAGACCUUAACCUGCUAAAUAGCCCGCAUUGCUCCGGCAGUGCGCUGGCCUCUUAGAGGGACUUUCGGCUCAAGCCGAAGGAAGUUUGAGGCAAUAACA
rnacentral:rRNA from 1 species